rnacentral:rRNA from 1 species
GUCCACGCCCUAAACGAUGUCUACUAGUUGUCGGGUCUUAAUUGACUUGGUAACGCAGCUAACGCGUGAAGUAGACCGCCUGGGGAGUACGGUCGCAAGAUUAAAACUCAAAGGAAUUGACGGGGACCCGCACAAGCGGUGGAUGAUGUGGAUUAAUUCGAUGCAACGCGAAAACCUUACCUACCCUUGACAUGGAAGGAAUCCCUGAGAGAUUGGGGAGUGCUCGAAAGAGAACCUUUACACAGGUGCUGCAUGGCUGUCGU